rnacentral:rRNA from 1 species
GGGCUUAGGGACCGCAGGUGUACUUUUAGUUAGCCCUAGCGGUGCGCAGGGCGUUGUCGGGCCGGGCGCGUCUGCCCAGCGGUAGCAGCGGGGACCUGGUCAACGAACGAGGAAGGGGGGAAGGGGCAGGCGGUAACCAGCAGCGGUAAAAGGUUAGGGCGAUAAUUUGAGCAAGGGGAGGGUUCUUGGGCGUCUCGCGUCCGUCCGUAGAAGAAGGGGGAAGGAGGAGGGGAGAGGAGGCAGCGGCGGCGACCGAAAGGAAGGGCGCUCGCUCCUAGCAGGGACUAGGCUUGCCCCGGGCGGGGGGCGGAGGAGGCACGGACCUCCACUUGGUUCGUUUAUAAAAGGACUGCCGUUCAAACAAUGUCUGACCGGAAAGGAACCGACUUAGCCGUGUGUGAUGAUUGUACCUUUGUAUGUGGUGCCUACUACGCGAAUGUUGGUACCCUAAACCUUUUAACGUUCCUGAACAAGAACAAAUACGUCCGUACCCAACCCAACGUCUUCGGUACCUCCAGUACGAUGACAGCAAACAACCUGGUAACUAAGCCCUCCUUACCUUUUAGAGACGGGUUCUACUCUCAAAUGAGAGUUCACAUCACAAAAACCCGUACAAUUAACCUCGUACACCGACCCCUAUACACAGACUGUUUAUACCCGCUUCCUGACCAAAUGACAAAAGUUGAGACAAAUGAUGACCUUACCCAAAGGAUUCACGAAACAGAGGCUUGAUAAAUACAAACUACCGAGAAGCGAAAGAGCAACCGCAUCCUGACCCACCGUCGGUACACAUAAGUAGAACCAAAAACCUUAAACAAGGACGUGUUUUAGCACCGAAAACCUACUAAUAAAAAAGGAAAAAGACCUGAUAACCGUGUCAGAACCUCCGAAGUGAACGUACCUAACAGCAUAGUUGUAACUGAACCUCCACCAACGAUCGUAACUGACGGUAGGGAACGAAAGAGAACGAGGGAAAGAAACCUUAGUGUGGACUUAGCGGUGCGAUAGACACACGCGUUUUAUCUUACAGACUACGUUGUGAACAGGACCUCUCUUAGCGGCUCUGUUUGGUUCGUCGAGAAGGCGGACCUCAAGAGCAUAUGGGAGCUCUGCCACUUCGACUAGUAUCACCAGAAUGGAGACUCCGUCUAGUAGAAGAAGGUGAGUCUCUCUUCCUUACGUGUCUACUACUACAGUACUCGGGGUUUAGACCAUCACGACGACGUAACGCGUCAGAUGACAGUGCCUUUAACGCGUCUAGUUGAGAAGAUGAAACCAAACAAAAGAUGCGUUUAAGGAAACGAAUAAUACCUGAUCAGAACGACUGGCGUGUUGACUCGUUACGUUUAUCUUCGACGCGUAGACCCGACUUUAUGCACUUCUCACUUUGUCUAUGGUCGGACAUGUUUCUAUGUAAACAAUGAUCAGAACGUCUCUAAGGCCCAGAUUAACGCAGGCGACAAGAGCAACUUACCAAACCGGCUUUUCGAUGUUACACCACGGACGAGAAGUGUACGACACCAAAGGAACCUGGUGAACACGAAAUAGUCUCACUCGAUACCUGUUGACCGGAAGACAAACCACGAGCACGCACACGGUACCCAUCGAUGUGUCAACAUACAAAUAUGCGGGGUCUCCAUAUGGGCUGUAGACACGCGAGCUGACCCCAACCUUAGCGCUGGCGGUACCCAUCUCAGCCACCUUAAUAAACGGGGGAACAUCGGCAACCCUACGACUCUUCGACGGUAGUCUACCUUCGGUAGUAACAUAAACUCCACCACGAUAAGGAACGACGUUAACGGACGUACGAGAAGGGAAAACUCUGGUUCCCGGCACGAUACUUAACUACUACCAGGACCACACUUGUACAUUUUGGUGAACCUGGUAUUUUAGGCAGUACGACGAUGCGCACUUGCAAAUAUAUGUUUGAUAAUAUACAGAUCAUAAAAUCACCUGUACUGCUACUUCUUAGGAGCUUUAAGUAAAGCCCCAAAGCCUACAAUAACCAGUAGUAAAACAUUUCAGGAGCGAGGAACUCUGACAUUCAUCCUCAUACCAUACCAUACCAUACCAUACCAUACAUACAUACAUAUUUAAGAAGCUUGCACUAAUUCACAGACGUUGUCCGUAAAGAUGGUCAUUGUAAACGACUUAAGAGUACAACUAAACCAAGGGUCAGCUUCAAUCUCAACGUUCAACAUUGAGAUCAAUCGAACACAACACCAAUACCUCAACAAUCCGACGAACGGAGUAUGUACCAACAAUUUAUCUGAACGUAAAAUCACUUGGAAUAUUAAUGUAUAAAAGUGAUUCUAGCGAUCAAACUUUAUUUUAAAGAAUGAUCAGUAGAUAAGUAGAGUAACGAGAUCAGCUGUGGGC